GGACUACACGGGUAUCUAAUCCUGUUUGCUCCCCACGCUUUCGCGCCUCAGCGUCAGUUGCGGGCCAGUGAGCCGCCUUCGCCACUGGUGUUCUUCCCAAUAUCUACGAAUUUCACCUCUACACUGGGAAUUCCACUCACCUCUCCCGCACUCAAGCCAGGCAGUCUCAAGCGCAAUUCCUGGGUUAAGCCCAGGGCUUUCACGCCCAACUUGCCAAGCCGCCUACGCGCCCUUUACGCCCAGUAAUUCCGAACAACGCUCGCCCCCUCCGUAUUACCGCGGCUGCUGGCAC
rnacentral:rRNA from 1 species